CUAUAUGUAGAAAUUUCUAUUUUAGAGAAAUAUAUUGGAGUAAGACCCAUCUCUAUUAUAGAGUUCUUCUAUUUUAGAAGUAAAAAUAUAAAUAUAUAUUGGAGAUGGUAUAACAACCUACAGAACUGACUCGCUCUGCUUAAACCCAAAAGAUUAAACAUACAUUAAGUCCAAAUUCGGAUAGGUUCACAAAAAGUAAUAACAUAAUGUCUUCUUGGCUAAAAGACUUUGUUCAUAAUAAUUAUUUUCAGACUAUCAAAUUAAAUUUCACCGUAUUUAAUUAACAUAAAAUUAUGAAUUAGAUGAUUAGUCAAGUCCAAUCAAUAAGAACAAUCCAAGAAUAUAGCACUAAUACACUUGUUUGCGAUAGAAGACUCCAAAAAGUUUCAAUAACAACAAAACAUUAUGUCAAAAGUUAGUAAGCAUAGAUAGAAAACUCUACAAAAACCUCAAAAUAACUAAACACCAUGUUUAAAACCAGAGUACAUCAGUAGUACACUAGUAAAAAUUUUCCGCAUAGCCACGGUAGUGCCAGUGUAAAAUCGUGGCUUAUUUGAAAAAGUCAUUGUUUAACCACGAUUAGCCACGGUUAGCCACAAUUUUUUAAAAAGCCACGAUUAUUCUUUUCUAGCCACGAAUCAGUCACUAAAUAAUCAUGGUUAUUUUAGUAGCCACGAUUUAGCUACGAAAUAACAGUGGCUAAUCGUUAGCCACGACUCAGCCACUUUAUUUUUGUGGCUAUUUAGUUUUUAUAUACCCUAAACCCUAAACUUCAAAAUUAAAUUAUAUAUUCUAGAUACUAAAACCAAAAUACAAAUAUAACAUUUUUUCAAACUUUAAAUAUAAAUGUUAAAUUUAAAUUCUAAAUAUAAAUUUCUUUAAAAUCCAUUAUAAAUCUUAAACCUAAACCCUUAUAAUCUUAAACUUCACAUACAAAAACCAUAAAUCUAAUGUUUUCAAACCACAAACCUUAUAUCAUACAUUAAAUCACAAAUAUUUAAAUCUAAUUAAACCCAAAAUUUAUAUAUUUCAAACUCUAAAAAUAUUUAUACUUUCAAUUAUUUAAUCUUAACAUUUACAUUUAAUACUAACAAGUAUACUCAAAUCCUAUUUCUCAAACUAUAAACUCUAUAUUGUAAACAUAUAUCAUUAAACCAUGAAGCAUUAUAUCUUAAAUUCAAAAUAUUGAAAUUUAAAUUGAAAAUCUUAUCAAUUUUCUUUAGGUUAUGCACUAUAAUCAUUAGCUAACAACUAAAUAAUAAAAAGAAAAGAAAUACUGAAAUCUAAUGCUAAUUCCUAAACUAACUUCUCAUUGGUCAAAAGAAGAAAGGAACGGAUUACCCCCUGUUAGAUCACAACCAUUCAUAAAGAUCUAUCGAACGGCUACAACUACACACGCUUUUUAUUUUUAUUUUUAAUUUAUUUUCUUCUUCCUUCUCUUCUCUCAUCUCUGAUUGAUUUUUAGAUCUAAGUUUCGUUUUCACACAGAUCUCUCUACCGCUCACACAUCUCUCCAUCUCUGCUCACAGAAGAAACAUCAAUGCCUCUACUCACAUAUCUAUGUUUGUCUCUUAUCAGUUGUGUAUGUAUUUGAUUUUGUUUUGAUAGAUGACAGAGACGGAGGUGGACUGCGACGGUAACGAAGAUGGAGAGACAUAGAGGGCUGAGGAAGAAGCGGAGAUUUUUAAACUAGGAAGAAGAAGAAGAAGGAGAGAAGACAAAGGAAGAAGAAGAAAAGCCAAGAUGAAGCUUCGCUGGCUCCUUCCAGAGCCAAUAUUGAAGAAGAUGAAGGUGGUGAGGUGGUGCGUGUAUCACCGGCGACACGGGGGUAGGCUAUCACCGGAGGAAUGUUGCGCGUGGUUCAUGGCCUGGUGCGCGUGGUGCUGUGCGAGGAUAUACAUAUAUAAUAAACAUGUAAUUUAUAAGAUUUUAUAUUUUAUUAAUAAAUUAUUUUAUUUUUUA